AUACGUAGGGGGCGAGCGUUGUCCGGAAUGAUUGGGCGUAAAGGGCGCGUAGGCGGCGCGGUAAGUCUGGAGUGAAAGUCCUGCUUUCAAGGCGGGAAUUGCUUUGGAUACUGCCGCGCUUGAGUGCAGGAGAGGUUAUCGGAAUUCCCGGUGUAGCGGUGAAAUGCGUAGAGAUCGGGAGGAACACCAGUGGCGAAGGCGGGUAACUGGACUGCAACUGACGCUGAGGCGCGAAAGUGUGGGGAGCAAACAGGAUUAGAUACCCUGGUAGUCCACACUGUAAACGAUGAAUGCUAGGUGUAAGAGGUAUCGACCCCUUUUGUGCCGGAGUCAACACAAUAAGCAUUCCGCCUGGGGAGUACGGCCGCAAGGUUGAAACUUAAAGGAAUUGACGGGG
rnacentral:rRNA from 1 species